rnacentral:lncRNA from 1 species
GUUUAAAAUAAAUGGCAUUGUUCCUCUGAGGCUCUGUUCAGCACUCAGUAAAUACACAAUACUUGAACUACCAGAGUGUAGUAAGUCUGGUUUUGGGGUACACCAGUGAUUUGUCACUACAUUGAAAUUAUUUUUUGAUAAAUUUUUUUUGUUUUGGUACCAGGUAUCAAACUCAGGACCUUGCGCAUGUGAGGAAGGUGGCAGCACCACUGAGCUAAAUCCCCAGCCCCUCAAAAGUAUUCUAUUACAGUAAAAUACACAUCAUGUUGGUGUUUCAUGCAGAAUGGGUCCUUGAUGAUCCACCGGAUGUAGAGACGGAUGGCACGCAGAUGUGUGCUGUGCCCCAUGUGUUCACCCCGUCCUUCUCUGUGGCUGUCUCUUGGCACAUGUCCCCCCUCC